rnacentral:rRNA from 1 species
UACGUAGGGUGCAAGCGUUGUCCGGAAUUAUUGGGCGUAAAGAGCUUGUAGGCGGUUUGUCGCGUCUGCUGUGAAAUUUCGGGGCUCAACCCCGAACUUGCAGUGGGUACGGGCAGACUAGAGUGUGGUAGGGGAGACUGGAAUUCCCGGUGUAGCGGUGAAAUGCGCAGAUAUCGGGAGGAACACCGGUGGCGAAGGCGGUUCUCUGGGCCUUACCUGACGCUGAGGAGCGAAAGCGUGGGGAGCGAACAGG